CCUACGGGGGGCAGCAGUGGGGAAUAUUGGGCAAUGGGCGCAAGCCUGACCCAGUAACGCCGCGUGAAGGAAGAAGGCUUUCGGGUUGUAAACUUCUUUUCUCAGGGACGAAGCAAGUGACGGUACCUGAGGAAUAAGCCACGGCUAACUACGUGCCAGCAGCCGCGGUAAUACGUAGGUGGCAAGCGUUAUCCGGAUUUACUGGGUGUAAAGGGCGUGUAGGCGGGAAAGCAAGUCAGAUGUGAAAACCAUGGGCUCAACCUGUGGCCUGCAUUUGAAACUGUUUUUCUUGAGUACUGGGGAGGCAGACGGAAUGCCUAGUGUAGCGGUGAAAUGCGUAGAUAUUAGGAGGAACACCAGUGGCGAAGGCGGUCUGCUGGACAGCAACUGACGCUGAGGCGCGAAAGCGUGGGGAGCAAACAGGAUUAGAUACCCGAGUAGUC
rnacentral:rRNA from 1 species